AUUGAACGCUGGCGGCAUGCCUAACACAUGCAAGUCGAACGGCAGCACAGUAAAGACUUCGGUCUUUAUGGGUGGCGAGUGGCGGACGGGUGAGUAACGCGUAGGAAUCUGUCCUGGAGAGUGGGCUAACCCGAGGAAACUCGGGCUAAUACCGCAUGAUAUCGAGAGAUCAAAGGCAGGGGACCCUUCGGGGCCUUGCGCUCUAGGUUGAGCCUACGUCGGAUUAGCUAGGUGGGGGGGUAAAGGCCUACCAAGGCGACGAUCCGUAGCUGGGCGGAGAGGAUGACCAGCCACACGGGGACUGAGACACGGCCCAGACUCCUACGGGAGGCAGCAGUGGGGAAUCUUGGACAAUGGGGGAAACCCUGAUCCAGCGAUGCCGCGUGUGUGAAGAAGGCCUUCGGGUUGUAAAGCACUUUAGGUGGGGAAGAAAGGUAAUGAGUGAAUAACUGAUUGCUUUGACGGUACCCGCAGAAUAAGCACCGGCUAACUCUGUGCCAGCCGCCGCCGUAA
rnacentral:rRNA from 1 species